UCAGUCGACUCCUACGGGGAGGCAGCAGUGGGGAAUAUUGCACAAUGGGGGAAACCCUGAUGCAGCCAUGCCGCGUGUGUGAAGAAGGCCUUCGGGUUGUAAAGCACUUUCAGUAGGGAGGAAGGUAGUGUAGUUAACACCUGCAUUAUUUGACGUUACCUACAGAAGAAGCACCGGCUAACUCCGUGCCAGCAGCCGCGGUAAUACGGGGGGGUGCGAGCGUUAAUCGGAAUUACUGGGCGUAAAGCGCAUGCAGGCGGCCUGUUAAGUCAGAUGUGAAAGCCCGGGGCUUAACCUCGGAAUUGCAUUUGAAACUGGCAGGCUAGAGUCUUGUAGAGGGGGGUAGGAAUUUCAGGUGUAGCGGUGAAAUGCGUAGAGAUCUGAAGGAAUACCAGUGGCGAAGGCGGCCCCCUGGACAAAGACUGACGCUCAGAUGCGAAAGCGUGGGGAGCAAACAGGAUUAGAUACCCUGGUAG
rnacentral:rRNA from 1 species